GAUGAACGCUGGCGGCGUGCCUAAUACAUGCAAGUCGAGCGAAGCGGGGACGGGCGAGUAACACGUGGAUAACCUCCUAUAAGACUGGGAUAACUUCGGGUAACAGCAGCUAAACCGGAUGCUUAUAUAUCGAUCCGCACUGCAUUAGCUAGUUGGUAAGGUAACGGCUUACCAAGGAUACGAUGCAUAGCCGACCUGAUAGGGUGAUCGGCCACACUGGAACGGAGACACGGUACAGACUCCUACGGUAGGCAGCAGUGGGGAAUCUUCCGCAAUGGGCGAAAGCCUGACGGAGCAACGCCGCGGGAGUGAUGAAGGUCUUCGGAUCGUAAAACUCUGUUAGUAGGGAAGCGGUACCUAAUCAGAAAGCCACGGCUAACUACGUGCCAGCCGCCGCGGUAAUAC
rnacentral:rRNA from 1 species